CAGGGAAUAGUUUAAUAAUAAGAUAUUAGUUUUGGGAAUUAAUGAUAGAUAAAUUUAUCUUUCUCUGA
rnacentral:tRNA from 1 species